rnacentral:rRNA from 1 species
UACGUAGGUGGCAAGCGUUGUCCGGAUUUACUGGGCGUAAAGAGCGCGCAGGCGGUCGAAUAAGUCGAAUGUGAAAGCCCCCGGCUUAACUGGGGAGGGUCAUUCGAUACUGCUCGACUUGAAGGCAGGAGAGGGUAGUGGAAUUCCCGGUGUAGUGGUGAAAUGCGUAGAUAUCGGGAGGAACACCAGUGGCGAAGGCGACUACCUGGCCUGUUCUUGACGCUGAGGCGCG